CCGCCGGCCGCGGCGGUUUUCCUUCCUCCCUCAUCUCUCGCGACCGGCCGAUGUGCCCUAGGUGUCGAGCCACUGCCGGCCGACACCGUCCAGCAACGCCAGCGUCGAUUGGGUCGUGCCCUAGCACUGCCGGCCUCCCCUGUGAUCUUGCGCCGCCGUCGUCACCCACAGCCGACCGACACCGUGUGUCCACCGCACCGAGCCUAGUUCUUCCUCUGUGUGCCACUGCCGAGAGCGAGCAGUAUCGCGUCGUGCCCUAGACUUGGUUCACCGUCGCUCUAGCGAGUUGGUCUUCAACCAAAAACAAACCUCCAAGCUCUAGUGGCUUCACCGUGACCUAUACCUCACCAUCGGAUCUUCCUGCUUCGCCACUAGCCGUCAGCAGAGAGAAAACAAAAAGGUAUCGAGUAGAAUCAGUGUAGCUCCGGCCAAGAAUCUGCGACAGUAGGUAUUUUCGGCUAGCAAUUUCCAGCAGCAACCUCCCUGCUAUGAGAAUUGAGGACUUUGACGCGAGACGAGUAUCUCGACGUCGUAUUCGGACCAGAUUGGAUCCUUUCUUUG